GGGGGUGAAACUGGAUUCGACGGGGAUUUGGAGCCUUUAGUAGCGAGCAGUUGUGAGAAGCAACUUUAAAAGUCUCAAAAAAAUAAACGAUAACGAAAAUUACGCGUUAGCAGCCUAAGCGGCUGUCAUCUUAUAUUGAACUCCCCACAGUCUUUAUAAGGUGUCAAAUUCGUGGGACACGAAGUCUUGCAAGCUCAUCAUAGCGAGAUAGGUACUCAUGAUGAUAUAGUUUAAAAAUCGUGUAAGUUCGAGUUUUAAACCGAAUAAAAACAACUAUACUGCGCUCGGAGAAGCUAAUUGUGAAGAGUUUUCGGACGCGGGUUCAACUCCCGCCACCUCCACCA
rnacentral:tmRNA from 1 species